UCACGGAGGAUAGAUGAUUAAAAAACCAUAACAAAUGGUAUAUGUUGGCAAAACAACACCACGUGAAAGAACAUGCGGUAUUACAAAGUUAGUAAUACCUUCGAUCACUUUCCUAUAGGAUUUGCCAUGGCAAGGAGGCUGUAAAUAAAUAAAAUAAGAGCACCACUAUCAAUUUCUGUUGUUUUGUUUUAUGUUUACUAAAAAUAUGUUUCAUUACUAACAAUAAAAUGAUAUAAAGUAUUGUAUUUCUAUACAUAUUUCAAAAGAAAUAAAUGAAAUAGAAAAAAGACAAACUCGAUUAGUUUAUCUAAUUCUCGUAAUUUUCUAUGCAAAUUUUACCUUCAGAAGCAAAGUACUUGAAAAGUGAACUAAUUCACAACUCCUUAAGAAAGAGAAAAAAAAUCCAGCAUAGUGAAUAAGAAUAUCUUAAUAUCUUGAAGUAAAAAUAAAAAUUUAAAAAGCUUACUGAGGACUCAAGAGAACUUGAACCAUAUGGCAUACUCGUACAUAUAACAUACCUGUAACAAACCAAACAAAAAAUAGGCUUAAAAUAAAAAAAAAUACAUUUUUUAAACAUCUAUGAAAUUCUUUAAAUAAUCAACAAAGAUUACCAAAAGUGGGCUUGAGCGGAGCUUAAAGAGGGAUCCAAGUGCUUUGAUUGCUGGAUACUCUUCAAGUUACCAUUUGCAAUGCCAUUGUAGUUCAUCAAGUAUCAGUACAUAUUUUACAAAUCUAACAACUUACUAUUGAGCUAUCGAUCGAGUAUGUGACUGCUCGGCUUCUACAACUUUGUGGAUCGACUAUGUGCUCGGUUGCUGGUCACAGCUUACAACUGUUAGUGGUUGAGGGCAUCAAAGUGAAGCAUCAUGACUCGAUUUAUAUACCAAAGCACAUAACAUAACUACCUUAAACAAACACAAACAACAUUAAAAUGAGCAAAAAAGGUCGAGGUAAAGAUUAUACAUACAUACAUACAUAUGUGACUCAAGAGAUGUCGUACCCUUAACUCAUCCUUUCUUCUUCGCUCUAAGCAAGAUAUAUUAUAAAUAAAAAAAUCAACAAAAGUAUAUAAAAAGGAAUAUUAGGGUUUCAAAAAGUUGAAUUGUCAGAAAGACAGAUGCGUUGUUUGUUAAAUAGGUAUUUAUAGUAGAUCCAUUAUCGUACAAAAAACCCAAAGUCCGACCCUAAGAAAGCCGGAUCCCGCGUCCCACUUUUUUUUUUGGUUUGUGUUUUGUGAAAUUUGGUUUGUGGUUGACCAGCUAAAGGAAAAAAGAGGUUUCGACUACUGCGGAUGAAAAACACGGACUAAUGAGCCAACUACAUCAAAACUGAAAAUAAUCAAAAGGAAAUUACAGAGAUGACAAUAUAACCACAGAUUAGUUA
rnacentral:lncRNA from 1 species